UUUGAAAAUAAUCCACAAGAAGGUAACUGACUUAUCAUUUUUCACCUGUAACUACAGAUGACGCAAACAUGUAUAACGAAGUGAAUUUUAUGUGCAAUACAUGUAUGUCUUCUGGAACAACGCCUAUGAGCAUGAUGGAGCUUGGACUCCUAGGAUCACAGUGAUGAUGACAACAUGCUUCAAUUUAAAGUGAUUUAUGCUUGCAGAGGACAAAAGACAGAGGAACAGCAGUAUGAACUGUACAAUUCUUUUCUGGGAUUUUAAAUUCAUUUGGCUGAUGGACAGGGAAACCUUACUAUCCUUUUGGUGAAGAAAAUUCUGUCGUUUGUCAGUGUUCAAGAUGCUGAUUCAGUUGCUGUCUCUGAAUGCCUCCUUCACUCCAGAACACCCUUGCAAGGGAGGGAUGGCCGGACAGCCUGCCCCCUACCUCCAGCUGAUGGAGUGAGGUAGACAAAUCUAUAGAAUGCUUAAAAUUGGGCAAUGUGUGCUGGGGUAUGCUUGAAUGCCAAGAAGUUUAAAUGCAUGUAUUUUCCAUUUUGAUGUGGUCAUGCCCGUAGUUGUGGGAAUACAACAAAAUCUAUUCAGAGCAGAAGCUGUGGAGCAAGAUAAACAGCAUGAGAACCAAGGACACCUUUAGAAGAAGAGAAAAAGCAAAAGAAAUGACUCAUGGCUCUGAUUGGAUAAGCACCCGCAUGCACGGAUAAGGAGUGUUUGUAGAAUACUCUGUUGUCAAGUAAAGGUGGAUGGGAAAGUUGUAAGGGCAGAUGGGAAAG
rnacentral:lncRNA from 7 species